CAGCCGCCGCGGUAAAACCAGCACCUCAAGUGGUCAGGAUGAUUAUUGGGCCUAAAGCAUCCGUAGCCGGCUCUGUAAGUUUUCGGUUAAAUCUGUAUGCUCAACAUACAGGCUGCCGGGAAUACUGCAGAGCUAGGGAGUGGGAGAGGUAGACGGUACUCGGUAGGAAGGGGUAAAAUCCUUUGAUCUAUUGAUGACCACCUGUGGCGAAGGCGGUCUACCAGAACACGUCCGACGGUGAGGGAUGAAAGCUGGGGGAGCAAACCGGAUUAGAUACCCGGGUAGUCCCAGCUGUAAACUAUGCAAACUCAGUGAUGCAUUGGCUUGAUGCCAAUGCAGUGCUGCAGGGAAGCCGUUAAGUUUGCCGCCUGGGAAGUACGUACGCAAGUAUGAAACUUAAAGGAAUUGGCGGGGGAGCAC
rnacentral:rRNA from 2 species